rnacentral:rRNA from 1 species
GACGAACGCUGGCGGCGUGCUUAACACAUGCAAGUCGAACGGAAAGGCCCCUUUGGGGGUACUCGAGUGGCGAACGGGUGCGUAACACGUGAGUAACCUUCCCUUGCCUUCGGGAUAACUUCAGGAAACUGGGGCUAAUACCGGAUAGGAAUCCUUGCUGCAUGGUGGGGGUUGGAAAGCUUCGGCGGUUUUGGAUGGACUCGCGGCUUAUCAGCUUGUUGGUGGGGUAGUGGGUUACCAAGGCUUUGACGGGUAGCCGGACUGAGGGGGCGACCGGCCACAUUGAGACUGAGAGACGGCCCAGACUGCUACGGGAGGGAGAAGGGGGGAAGACUGACCAAGGGGCGGAAGCCUGGUGCAGAAAGGCCGCGGGCGGGAAGACGGCCUUAGGGUUGUAAAACGCUUUCAGCAGGGGCGAAGCUUGUGGUGACGGUACCUGCAGAAGAAGCACCGGCUAACUACGUG